rnacentral:tRNA from 2 species
GGGCCCGUAGCUCAGUUGGAUAGAGCGUUGGCCUCCGGAGCCGAAGGUCCGGGGUUCAAAUCCCCGCGGGCCCGCCA